UAAUACGGAGGGUGCAAGCGUUAUCCGGAUUCACUGGGUUUAAAGGGUGCGUAGGUGGGCAGGUAAGUCAGUGGUGAAAUCUCCGGGCUUAACCCGGAAACUGCCGUUGAUACUAUUUGUCUUGAAUAUUGUGGAGGUAAGCGGAAUAUGUCAUGUAGCGGUGAAAUGCUUAGAUAUGACAUAGAACACCAAUUGCGAAGGCAGCUUACUACACAAUCAUUGACGCUGAGGCACGAAAGCGUGGGGAUCAAACAGGAUUAGAUACCCUGGUAGUCCACGCCCUAAACGAUGAUUACUCGACGUGUGCGAUACACUGUACGCGUCUGAGCGAAAGCAUUAAGUAAUCCACCUGGGAAGUACGACCGCAAGGUUGAAACUUAAAGGAAUUGACGG
rnacentral:rRNA from 1 species